UUCCGGUUGAUCCUGCCGGCGGGCACCGCUAUCGGUAUGCGAUUAAGGCAUGCGAGUCGAGAGGUGCAAGACCUCGGCUGACGGCUGAGUAACACGCGGAUAACCUGCCCUGAAGUGGAGGAUAAUCUCGGGAAACUGAGGAUAAUACUCCAUAGGUGUGGUAUGCUGGAAUGCUUCCACGCUUAAAGCUCCGGCGCUUCAGGGUGGGUCUGCGGCCUAUCANGCUGUAGUGGGUGUAACGGACCCACUAACCUACGACGGGUAGGGGCGUUGAGAGACGGAGCCUCCAGAUGGAUUCUGAGACACGAAUCCAGGCCCUACGGGGCG
rnacentral:rRNA from 1 species